UACGGGGGGAGCAAGCGUUGUUCGGAUUUACUGGGCGUAAAGGGCGCGUAGGCGGCCCGCUAAGUCGAACGUGAAAUCCCCAGGCUCAACCUGGGAACUGCGUCCGAUACUGGCAGGCUUGAAUCCGGGAGAGGGAUGUGGAAUUCCAGGUGUAGCGGUGAAAUGCGUAGAUAUCUGGAGGAACACCGGUGGCGAAGGCGGCAUCCUGGACCGGUAUUGACGCUGAGGCGCGAAAGCUAGGGUAGCAAACGGG
rnacentral:rRNA from 1 species